rnacentral:rRNA from 1 species
GUGCCAGCCGCCCGCGGUAAUACGUAGGGUGCGAGCGUUAAUCGGAAUUACUGGGCGUAAAGCGUGCGCAGGCGGUUUUAUAAGACAGAUGUGAAAUCCCCGGGCUUAACCUGGGAACUGCGUUUGUGACUGUAAGACUCGAGUGUGGCAGAGGGGGGUGGAAUUCCACGUGUAGCAGUGAAAUGCGUAGAGAUGUGGAGGAACACCGAUGGCGAAGGCAGCCCCCUGGGUCAACACUGACGCUCAUGCACGAAAGCGUGGGUAGCAAACAGG